rnacentral:tRNA from 1 species
AAUACGAAUUACAGUAACGGAUUGCCUUAGGUAAAAACCACCCUCAGAUACACGAACAAAUGGAACCCAAAUUGGAA